UUACGGCCACAUCAUGUUGAAACAUCGGUUCCGGUACGAUCACAGAUAUUAAGCAAUGUCGAGCCUGGUCAGCAGAUGGGUGACCACUUGGAAAUACCAGGUGCUGUAAG